CUACGUGCCAGCAGCCGCGGUAAUACGGGGGGUGCGAGCGUUAAUCGGAAUAACUGGGCGUAAAGGGCACGCAGGCGGUGACUUAAGUGAGAUGUGAAAGCCCCGAGCUUAACUUGGGAAUUGCAUUUCAUACUGGGUCGCUAGAGUACUUUAGGGAGGGGUAGAAUUCCACGUGUAGCGGUGAAAUGCGUAGAGAUGUGGAGGAAUACCGAAGGCGAAGGCAGCCCCUUGGGAAUGUACUGACGCUCAUGUGCGAAAGCGUGGGGAGCAAACAGGAUUAGAUACCCUGGUAGUCCACGCUGUAAACGAUGUCGAUUUGGGGAUUGGGCUUUGAGCUUGGUGCCCGUAGCUAACGUGAUAAAUCGACCGCCUGGGGAGUACGGCCGCAAGGUUAAAACUCAAAUGAAUUGACGGGGGCCCGCACAAGCGGUGGAGCAUGUGGUUUAAUUCGAUGCAACGCGAAGAACCUUACCUACUCUUGGCAUCCAUGGAAUCUUGUAGAGAUAUGAGAGU
rnacentral:rRNA from 1 species